AUGAGAGUCCAACAUACGUUAGACCCAGCAGCUCACCAGACAAAAAGAAAGAAAGAACAACCUCUAAACUCAAGGAGUAGAAAGCGUGCAAGGACUGCAGAGGGAAGAAGAAAUGCGAACACAGAGGCUCCUAAACGAUUGAGAAAGGCUAAUGCUGAAGAACAUAGGGAAUCGAAGCGCGCCAGAAGCGAAACCAACAAAAACAACACUAGAGUCAAUGUUGGAGACAACAACAGAACCAGAACCUCGACAAGUGCUAAUAGCAAGCCAUGGAACUUCGGAAGGCCAACAUACAAAUGCCAAUAUUGCAAAGCAUUGCUAUGGUGUGAAGAAAUAUUAAAUUCAAACAAAGGAACUACGACACCCUCUUUUGGAAUAUGCUGCAAACAAGGGAAAAUCGAUCUGCCGCCACUAAGAGAACCUCCACCAUACCUUAGAAACCUCUUAAGAAGUGAAGGGCAGGAUUCAGUAAACUUCAAAGAAAAUAUAAGGUCAUACAACUCAAUGUUCUCAUUCACAUCGAUGGGAGGAGCUGUGGACAAGGAAAUAAACACUCGCAAAGGACCUUAUGUCUUUCGUUUGCAUGGACAAAACUACCACCAUAUCAGAACUCUUUUGCCUCAAGGUACAGACAAACCUCGGUUCGCACAGCUACACAUCUAUAAUACCGAAAAUGAGGUGGAAAAUAGGAUAAGUGUGUCAAGAUGCAAUGAUAAUAAAUCAACAGUGGACCCCAACAUCGUCAAAGAACUGAAGAUAAUGCUCGACGACAACAAUAUCCUUGCAAAAACAUUCAGAAUGGCAAGAGACAAAUUCCAAGAAGGAGACUACCAUGAUUACACACUUUGGAUACUAGGCAAAAGGAACGGAACACACAACCUUCCAUCCGCAUCUGAAGUUGCAGCAUUGGUAGUAAGAGAUCCAACCGGAGAGAGUGAAGGAUGUGACAUCGUUGUUGAGUACAAAAAUAUGGAGCCGCAAAGGAUAUCAGAGAUCCACCCGAAAUUCAUGUCCAUGCAAUAUCCGUUGUUGUUCCCAUAUGGAGAAGAUGGUUUUCAACUUGAGAUACCCUACAAGAAAACAAAAGGAGGUACAAACAACAGGAAAUACGUAACGUUAUUGGACUACUAUGCAUUCUACCUACAGCAACGUCCUGAUCAAGGAAUGUUACUGCUCAAGUCCGGGAAUUUGUCACUGCAAUUUUGGGUGGAUGUAUACACAUGUAUCGAGCAAAAUAGACUAAACUGGAUCCGACACAAUCAAUGA
rnacentral:rRNA from 1 species